rnacentral:rRNA from 1 species
CAGUCGAACGGGAAACCUUUUAUUGAAGCUUCGGCAGAUUUAGAUUGUUUCUAGUGGCGGACGGGUGAGUAACGCGUGGGUAACCUGCCUUAUACAGGGGGAUAACAGUCAGAAAUGACUGCUAAUACCGCAUAAGCGCACAGAGCUGCAUGGCUCGGUGUGAAAAACUCCGGUGGUAUAAGAUGGACCCGCGUUGGAUUAGCUGGUUGGUGAGGUAACGGCCCACCAAGGCGACGAUCCAUAGCCGGCCUGAGAGGGUGAACGGCCACAUUGGGACUGAGACACGGCCCAGACUCCUACGGGAGGCAGCAGUGGGGAAUAUUGCACAAUGGGGGAAACCCUGAUGCAGCGACGCCGCGUGAAGGAAGAAGUAUCUCGGUAUGUAAACUUCUAUCAGCAGGGAAGAAUUAGGACGGUACCUGACUAAGAAGCCCCGGCUAACUACGUGCCAGCAGCCGCGGUAAUACGUAGGGGGCAAGCGUUAUCCGGAUUUACUGGGUGUAAAGGGAGCGUAGACGGAUGGACAAGUCUGAUGUGAAAGGCUGGGGCUCAACCCCGGGACUGCAUUGGAAACUGCCCGUCUUGAGUGCCGGAGAGGUAAGCGGAAUUCCUAGUGUAGCGGUGAAAUGCGUAGAUAUUAGGAGGAACACCAGUGGCGAAGGCGGCUUACUGGACGGUAACUGACGUUGAGGCUCGAAAGCGUG